rnacentral:rRNA from 1 species
AUUGAACGCUGGCGGCAGGCCUAACACAUGCAAGUCGAACGAGUGGCGGACGGGUUAGUAAUGUCUGGGAAACUGCCUGAUUGAGGGGGAUAACUACUGGAAACGGUAGCUACUACAGCAUACCAUCGAAUGUUCCCAAAUGGGAUUAGAUAGUAGGGGGGGUAAAGGCUCACCUAGGCUACGAUCCCUAGCUGGUCUGAGAGGAUGACAAGCCACACUGGAAAUGAGACACGGUCAAGACUCCUACGGGAGGCAGCAGUGGGGAAGAUUGCACAAUGGGCGCAAGCCUGAUGCAGCCAUGCCGCGUGUAUGAAGAAGGCCUUCGGGUUGUAAAGUACUUUCAGCGGGGAGGCGUUACCCGCAGAAGAAGCACCGGCUAACUCCGUGCCAGCAGCCGCGGUAAUAC